GUCCAGCCUGCCCAGUGACCCUGUUCAACGGCCGCGGUAUCCUAACCGUGCGAAGGUAGCGUAAUCACUUGUUCUUUAAAUGAGGACUAGUAUGAAUGGCAUCACGAAGGUUAUACUGUCUCCUCUCUCUAAUCAGUGAAACUAAUCUCCCCGUGAAGAAGCGGGGAUGAUCGUAUAAGACGAGAAGACCCUAUGGAGCUUUAAACUAAGAAGCAAUUGCCCUCAUACCUUUGAAAUUCCAGAAAACUAAUGAGUACAAGGCACCGUGACUUCCAGUUUUAGGUUGGGGUGACCACGGAGUAAAAACUAACCUCCGCACUGAAUAGGGGCCUUCCCUAAACUAAGGGCCACAACCCUAAGAAUCAAUACAUUGACAGCAAUUGACCCAAAAAUUUGAUCAAUGAACCAAGUUACCCUAGGGAUAACAGCGCAAUCCACUUCAAGAGCUCCUAUCGACAAGUGGGUUUACGACCUCGAUGUUGGAUCAGGGUACCCUAGUGGUGCAGCCGCUACUAACGGUUCGUUUGUUCAACGAUUAAAACCCUACGUGAUCUGAG
rnacentral:rRNA from 1 species